rnacentral:rRNA from 1 species
CUGGCUCAGGAUGAACGCUAGCGGCAGGCUUAACACAUGCAAGUCGAGGGGCAUCGGGAGUAGCAAUACUUGCCGGCGACCGGCGCAAGGGUGCGUAACGCGUGAGCAACAUGCCCGUAUCAGGGGGAUAAUCCAUGGAAACGUGGUCUAAUACCCCAUAGUAAUUAUGUAAGGCAUCUUAUAUAAUUUAAAGCUUUGGUGGAUACGGAUUGGCUCGCGUGACAUUAGCUGGAUGGUAAGGUAACGGCUUACCAUGGCUACGAUGUCUAGGGGUUCUGAGAGGAAGGUCCCCCACACUGGAACUGAGACACGGUCCAGACUCCUACGGGAGGCAGCAGUGAGGAAUAUUGGACAAUGGAUGGAAAUCUGAUCCAGCCAUGCCGCGUGCAGGAAGACGGCCCUAUGGGUUGUAAACUGUCUUUUGUAUGGGAGCAAUAAGGGCUACGUGUAGUCCGAUGAGAGUACCAUACGAAUAAGCACCGGCUAACUCCGUGCCAGCCGCCGC